CCUACGGGAGGCAGCAGUGAGGCAUAUUGGUCAAUGGACGAGAGCCUGAACCAGCCAAGUAGCGUGAAGGAUGACUGCCCUAUGGGUUGUAAACUUCUUUUAUAUGGGAAUAAAAUGUUCCACGUGUGGGCUUUUGUAUGUUCCAUAUGAAUAAGGAUCGGCUAAAUACGUGCCAGCCGCCUCGGUACUUCGGAGGAUCCGAGGGUUAUCCGGAUUUAUUGGGUUUAAAGGGAACGUAGGGUGAUUGUUAAGUCAGUUGUGAAAGUUUGCGGCUCAACCGUCAAAUUGCAGUGGAAACUGGCAGUCUUGAGUGCAGUAGAGGUGGGCGGAAUUCGUGGU
rnacentral:rRNA from 1 species